GACGAACGCUGGCGGCGUGCUUAACACAUGCAAGUCGAACGGAAAGGCCCCUUUGGGGGUACUCGAGUGGCGAACGGGUGAGUAACACGUGAGUAACCUGCCCUUGACUUCGGGAUAACUUCAGGAAACUGGGGCUAAUACCGGAUAGGAAUCCUUGCUGCAUGGUGGGGGUUGGAAAGCUUCGGCGGUUUUGGAUGGACUCGCGGCUUAUCAGCUUGUUGGUGGGGUAGUGGCUUACCAAGGCUUUGACGGGUAGCCGGCCUGAGAGGGCGACCGGCCACAUUGGGACUGAGAUACGGCCCAGACUCCUACGGGAGGCAGCGGUGGGGAAUAUUGCACAAUGGGCGGAAGCCUGAUGCAGCAACGCCGCGUGCGGGAUGACGGCCUUCGGGUUGUAAACCGCUUUCAGCAGGGGCGAAGCUUGUGGUGACGGUACCUGCGGAAGAAGCACCGGCUAACUACGUG
rnacentral:rRNA from 1 species